GUAACCAAAGAUUACUGUCACAGAUUAAUAGAUACACUGUUUUUAACGUUUUUAACGAUCACGCCCAUUACCGUAGUUUUUACCGUUACCUACAUUAUUUUGCUUGCGAGCGUUGUAAUAAACGUUAAAGCCCUAAAUGGACUACAGAAAUGUUUACGUUUUUAAAAUAAUGUAAGAUUACAAUUUUGCCGUGUGUGGUAAGAAGCUGAGACCUGGUUCAAAUCCGCUGAUCGGCAUCGCAUAGACGCUUUCGAGAUGUGGUGCUGGAAAAGAAUGCUCCAUAUUCGUGAACAGUACCUACAUAGAACUAAUGUAUCGGUGCUAAGAUAACUUAACAUCUCGAAGAGACUGUCAGUAUGUCAUGAGUAACGACAAGUACAACACUCGACGGGCGACGGGGGGAAAGACGGGGUGAAAACGUGCGUGCGGGGAAGUGAGGUGCAUCAGUCAUGGGGUUUUCAUUUAUCGCUACCCGCCCCCCGGGCGUUCCCGCUAUCGGAAGUGUUAGGUACGAACGAAGUUGCCAAGGUAUAGUCCUCUUUAUGCUUUAUCAGUCUCAAUGACUUUGUAAUCAUUCAGAUUACAGCUGUCCUAUUUCAGAUAACUUACAUACUUACCUAUAAAAAGACAUACCGUUGGUAUGCCGUAUGUACAAUAUAAUGUCGCUGCCUAUAACCAAAUACCUAACCAUAAUAAAUUAAUAAUUAUUAUACUCGUACAUAUAAUAGGUAGUAAUAAGUACGAGCGAAUAAAAACUAUGAAUCACAAGUUAAAAUGUUGGCAUAGAUAUUAUAAACUUGUCCCUGCCUACCUAUCUCUAUCUGAUUACUAAUACUACGUCAUCAUAUUUAUGCUUGUUUGAUAAAUGAUAAGCAGGGCAGGUUUGAUAUUUGAAUUUAGUAUAGUGCCGAAAUACGCUUAGCUAUUAGUUUACCUACACUAGAACGCACACGCAGUCACGCAACGCAUCACGCAGCAGUAGAGGGCAGACUCGUAAACAGACGAACGUGUGUAAGCGAGACGUGGUAGUGUUGUGAUUAAUUAUAAUUUGUUAGGCCCGCUUACGGAAUCC